CACGUAGGGCGCAAGCGUUGUCCGGAAUUAUUGGGCGUAAAGAGCUCGUAGGCGGUCUGUUGCGUCCGCUGUGAAAACUCGGGGCUUAACCCCGAGCCUGCAGUGGAUACGGGCAGACUAGAGGUAGGUAGGGGAGAAUGGAAUUCCCGGUGUAGCGGUGAAAUGCGCAGAUAUCGGGAGGAACACCGGUGGCGAAGGCGGUUCUCUGGGCCUUUCCUGACGCUGAGGAGCGAAAGCGUGGGGAGCGAACAGG
rnacentral:rRNA from 1 species